GCCCCUGAUCUGCGCUAGUCUUCGCAUGGAUUUUUCUAUAGAGGCCAGACAUCUUUGUGUGGCUGCGAGUGACCUAAGGAACACCCUCUCCACUCAUUGGAUUAUAGAAGAUUAAGAUCAAAAUUUAUUUGCUAACGAUCUCUAUCUUAUUUUGAUUCCUAUGAUAUAUCUAAUAGUUAGAUCUAGAAUUUUAGCAUUGAUGAAAUCGAUGUGAUUUUUAUUUUCAGAUCUAAAGUAUAUAUUUUUCAUAUCAAAGAUCUUGAUAUGGUAAUCUA
rnacentral:lncRNA from 1 species